UACGAAGGGGGCGAGCGUUGUUCGGAAUUACUGGGCGUAAAGGGCGCGCAGGCGGCUCUGAAAGUCAGAUGUGAAAGCCCCGGGCUUAACCUGGGAAUUGCAUUUGAUACUCUGGAGCUUGAGUGUGGGAGAGGAGAGUGGAAUUCCCAGUGUAGAGGUGAAAUUCGUAGAUAUUGGGAAGAACACCGGUGGCGAAGGCGGCUCUCUGGACCACAACUGACGCUGAGGCGCGAAAGCGUGGGUAGCAAACAGG
rnacentral:rRNA from 1 species